rnacentral:rRNA from 2 species
UGACCUCGGAUCAGGUAGGGAUACCCGCUGAACUUAAGCAUAUCAAUAAGCGGAGGAAAAGAAACCAACCGGGAUUGCCCUAGUAACGGCGAGUGAAGCGGCAAGAGCUCAAAUUUGAAAGCUGGCUCCUUCGGGGUCCGCAUUGUAAUUUGCAGAGGAUGCUUCGGAAUCGGCCCCCAUCUAAGUGCCCUGGAACGGGCCGUCAUAGAGGGUGAGAAUCCCGUCUGGGAUGGGGUGUCCGUGCCCGUGUGAAGCUCCUUCGACGAGUCGAGUUGUUUGGGAAUGCAGCUCUAAUUGGGUGGUAAAUUUCAUCUAAAGCUAAAUAUUGGCCGGAGACCGAUAGCGCACAAGUAGAGUGAUCGAAAGAUGAAAAGCACUUUGAAAAGAGAGUUAAAAAGCACGUGAAAUUGUUGAAAGGGAAGCGCUUGCGACCAGACUCGCCCGCGGGGUUCAGCCGGCAUUCGUGCCGGUGUACUUCCCCGCGGGCGGGCCAGCGUCGGUUUGGGCGGCCGGUCAAAGGCCCCUGGAAUGUAACGCCUCUCGGGGCGUCUUAUAGCCAGGGGUGCCAUGCGGCCUGCCCGGACCGAGGAACGCGCUUCGGCUCGGACGCUGGCAUAAUGGUCGUAAGCGACC